rnacentral:tRNA from 1 species
UUACUAAAAGCGAAUCGCACUAAGUUUCGACCUUAGCUUUGGAUUAUUUUUUCCUUAGUAAA